UCUCGCAUAGCAGCUCUAAUGACGUCUUCAAGUACAGAGCGAAAGGCGAGAGCUGAGCAUGAUUGCGAUAAAAGGCUUUACCUUAAUGACGAAUUCGACAUGUGUCACGUUCUGUACCACGGGGGCACGAGAGUACAUGCACGUGCGCCAUUUCCCGUCACACCAAAGGCGCAAGAAUUAAAUCGGCAUAUGAUUAUCCGCUUCACUUCACCCUCGCCCUCGAGGAUCAACUAUGGGCCGUCCAGCGGGCCGAGGAUGCCGCCAGGACCCAAGAACUGCUGGCCAUCGCCUAGGCGGGGCCUUUGGUCCUCCCCACCAACUCGCAGGGCACGCAAUAAAGUUAUUCCCUCCUCCUCCUCCUAGCUUAGCAGCCCAUACAAAUACUCAUAUAAGUCAA